rnacentral:rRNA from 1 species
GAUGAACGCUGGCGGCGUGCUUAACACAUGCAAGUCGAACGAAGCAUUUAGAACGGAUUACUUCGGUUUGAAGUUCUUUAUGACUGAGUGGCGGACGGGUGAGUAACGCGUGGGUAACCUGCCUUGUACUGGGGGAUAGCAGCUGGAAACGGCUGGUAAUACCGCAUAAGCGCACAAUGUUGCAUGACAUGGUGUGAAAAACUCCGGUGGUAUAAGAUGGACCCGCGUCUGAUUAGCUAGUUGGUGAGAUAACAGCCCACCAAGGCGACGAUCAGUAGCCGGCCUGAGAGGGGGACCGGCCACAUUGGGACUGAGACACGGCCCAGACUCCUACGGGAGGCAGCAGUGGGAAUAUUGCACAAUGGAGGAAACUCUGAUGCAGCGACGCCGCGUGAGUGAAGAAGUAAUUCGUUAUGUAAAGCUCUAUCAGCAGGGAAGAUAGUGACGGUACCUGACUAAGAAGCUCCGGCUAAAUACGUGCCAGCCGCCGCGGUAA